rnacentral:rRNA from 1 species
UGUACACACCGCCCGUCGCUACUACCGAUUGAAUGGCUCAGUGAGGCCUUCGGACUGGCUCAGGGAGGUUGGCAACGACCACCCCGAGCCGGAAAGUUCGUCAAACUCGGUCAUUUAGAGGAAGUAAAAGUCGUAACAAGGUUUCCGUAGGUGAACCUGCGGAAGGAUCAUUA